rnacentral:rRNA from 1 species
AACGAACGCUGGCGGCAGGCUUAACACAUGCAAGUCGAGCGCCCCGCAAGGGGAGCGGCAGACGGGUGAGUAACGCGUGGGAAUCUACCCAUCUCUACGGAAUAACGCAUGGAAACGUGUGCUAAUACCGUAUACGUCCUUCGGGAGAAAGAUUUAUCGGAGAUGGAUGAGCCCGCGUUGGAUUAGCUAGUUGGUGGGGUAAAGGCCUACCAAGGCGACGAUCCAUAGCUGGUCUGAGAGGAUGAUCAGCCACACUGGGACUGAGACACGGCCCAGACUCCUACUGGAGGCAGCAGUGGGGAAUAUUGGACAAUGGGCGCAAGCUUGAUCCAGCCAUGCCGCGUGAGUGAUGAAGGCCCUAGUGUUGUAAAGCUCUUUCACCGGUGAAGAUAAUGACGGUAACCGGAGAAGAAGCCCCGGCUAACUUCGUGCCAGCCGCCGCCGUAACAC